rnacentral:rRNA from 1 species
UACGUAGGGUGCAAGCGUUAAUCGGAAUUACUGGGCGUAAAGCGUGCGCAGGCGGUUGUGCAAGACAGAUGUGAAAUCCCCGGGCUCAACCUGGGAAUUGCAUUUGUGACUGCACGGCUAGAGUGUGUCAGAGGGGGGGUAGAAUUCCACGUGUGAGCAGUGAAAUGCGUAGAGAUGAUGGAGGAAUACCGAUGGCGAGGCAGCCCCUGGGAUAACACUGACGCCUCAUGCACGAAGCGUGGGGAGCAAACAGGAAUA